GUUCUAUUAGACACACAGACUAGUCCUGAUUCACGGAAGGGGACUACCCAAGGGGAUGAAUUCCAGGAGAAGAAUGAAUACCGUAACCAGCUGACGGGAUUGUUGGGAGGGCUUAAAUGAGUUAGUAUGCGCACAGCGCAGGCAUACCACCUGGCCCAAGACCCCCCAACACCUUGUGUUGAAAGUUCCACCUGACGCAACUGCAACCGCAUGCUGACAAAUGAGCAAAUCAAUCAAACCAGAUGGGAGACCCUCCAGGCGACCACCACGGGCUGCCUCACCCAGCACUUUUGCUUCGACUUCCUUUUGGGUAGUAGUUGAGAGGGUGUCUGAAUCAAAGUCAGCAGCAAGCUCUGCGCGCAGUGUCCCCUCGUGCAGUGGCCGGCCCGCUCCCUGUGAACAUGCUCUCUGUCCCGUGUCUGCUGUGCUCCUGGGGACGAAGAGCUGGCCGUCGUCCACUCGUUCUGCGUGUGCACUGGCGCAGGCCAUCUAAUCAGCGUUCCACCGGAAGGCGGCUCUGUGGCCCUGCAGUUGGGUGACACUGUUGCUUUCUGAAAACUGUAAAUCGGAGGAAACAGAAAUUGCUGGCGAAUGAAACCUUUUGUGUCCUUUUUUUCUUAUUAGCACUUGAAAUUGGGUUUUCUCCAAUAUAUUUUACAUUCUGCAAGCUCAAG